CACUGACCGUCCCUACUACCAAUCGGAUGGUUUAGUGAGGUCCUUGUGUCGGCCCCAACGGGGUUUGCCCUGACCCUGCCAGAGCAUCGAGAAGGUGGUCAAUCUUGACUAUCUAGAGGAAGUAGAAGUCGUAACAAGGUUACUGUAGGUGAACCAGCAGAAU
rnacentral:ncRNA from 1 species